rnacentral:rRNA from 1 species
GCGGCAGGCCUAACACAUGCAAGUCGAGCGGUAGCACAGAGAGCUUGCUCUCGGGUGACGAGCGGCGGACGGGUGAGUAAUGUCUGGGAAACUGCCUGAUGGAGGGGGAUAACUACUGGAAACGGUAGCUAAUACCGCAUAANGUCGCAAGACCAAAGUGGGGGACCUUCGGGCCUCAUGCCAUCAGAUGUGCCCAGAUGGGAUUAGCUAGUAGGUGGGGUAACGGCUCACCUAGGCGACGAUCCCUAGCUGGUCUGAGAGGAUGACCAGCCACACUGGAACUGAGACACGGUCCAGACUCCUACGGGAGGCAGCAGUGGGGAAUAUUGCACAAUGGGCGCAAGCCUGAUGCAGCCAUGCCGCGUGUGUGAAGAAGGCCUUCGGGUUGUAAAGCACUUUCAGCGGGGAGGAAGGCGUUGAGGUUAAUAACCUUG